AGUCGGAGCGGAUGAAGGGAGCUUGCUCCUGGAUUCAGCGGCGGACGGGUGAGUAAUGCCUAGGAAUCUGCCUGGUAGUGGGGGAUAACGUCCGGAAACGGGCGCUAAUACCGCAUACGUCCUGAGGGAGAAAGUGGGGGAUCUUCGGACCUCACGCUAUCAGAUGAGCCUAGGUCGGAUUAGCUAGUUGGUGGGGUAAAGGCCUACCAAGGCGACGAUCCGUAACUGGUCUGAGAGGAUGAUCAGUCACACUGGAACUGAGACACGGUCCAGACUCCUACGGGAGGCAGCAGUGGGGAAUAUUGGACAAUGGGCGAAAGCCUGAUCCAGCCAUGCCGCGUGUGUGAAGAAGGUCUUCGGAUUGUAAAGCACUUUAAGUUGGGAGGAAGGGCAGUAAGUUAAUACCUUGCUGUUUUGACGUUACCAACAGAAUAAGCACCGGCUAACUUCGUGCCAGCA
rnacentral:rRNA from 1 species